GAUGAACGCUGGCGGCGUGCCUAAUACAUGCAAGUCGAGCGAAUGGAUUAAGAGCUUGCUCUUAUGAAGUUAGCGGCGGACGGGUGAGUAACACGUGGGUAACCUGCCCAUAAGACUGGGAUAACUGCGGGAAACCGGGGCUAAUACCGGAUAACAUUUUGAACCGCAUGGUUCGAAAUUGAAAGGCGGCUUCGGCUGUCUCUUAUGGAUGGACCCGGGUCGCAUUAGCUAGUUGGUGAGGUAACGGCUCACCAAGGCAACGAUGCGUAGCCGACCUGAGAGGGUGAUCGGCCACACUGGGACGGAGACACGGCCCAGACUCCUACGGGAGGCAGCAGUAGGGAAUCUUCCGCAAUGGACGAAAGUCUGACGGAGCAACGCCGCGUGAGUGAUGAAGGCUUUCGGGUCGUAAAACUCUGUUGUUAGGGAAGAACAAGUGCUAGUUGAAUAAGCUGGCACCUUGACGGUACCUAACCAGAAAGCCACGGCUAACUACGUGCCAGCCGCCGCGGUAA
rnacentral:rRNA from 1 species